GGAAAGGCUUCCAAGAACAGAACAAGAUGACAGGCGGACAUGAAAAUAGAAACAAUCCACUCUGACAGCCUUCUUUCCCCGGGCUAACCACCCCCCAAGGCAACAGCUCAUAGCAUCGGGAUUUCUGGAGAUGUUUCGUUGUCAUUGAGAGGAAGAUCUUCCCCAGAGGCUACUCUGGGCCUGGAUCUGCUGCUGGCUUCAAAGUCUGAAGCUUCAUUUCUUCUUAAUGUGACCAGCAAGGCGUGGCCCUGUGGUCUGUCUAUCCUGCUGUCCUAGUAACCCACCAUUCAGGGGUGGCCUCGGUCAAGACCUCAUCCCCCUGCUCAGCCCCAGAGCCACACUGGUUGAUCUCAUCCAUUCCCUGCCUACUUAUAACUUCUCAAGUCAUCAUCCCACUCCAAUGGGGACCUGGCUGGACCGUGGAGCAGGACCACUUCUCAAUCCUGCCUCGGUCUACCAGUGUCUGGCUGGACCAGGGUGACUUCCUCUAUCUUGAACUGUGACCCUCCUCUGCAUGUUCUUGAAAUGCACAGGCAAACCCUCAAUAAAACUCAUCCGCUGGGCCUCAUCUUUUCUAUCUGUCAAAUGGCACUAUUUGGCAUCUGGGAAACGGAGAGGACCCUAUGAUUCUCAGGUUGGUGCUGGACAGAGAGCAGCGAUUCUGGAAACAGCUUUCACUUCCCUUUUAACUUUUAUGGGCACAUGUUUUCUUCUUAAAAUUCUGCACAUUUUGACUCGGAGGCAUGACUAGCUUCUGGCUGCCUGGGUUUCCGCUCCUAUGUCAUCUCCUUCCCGGGACAGCGUCUU